UACGUAGGGGGCAAGCGUUGUCCGGAAUCAUUGGGCGUAAAGAGCGUGUAGGCGGUUCGGUAAGUCGGCUGUGAAAGUCCAGGGCUCAACCCUGGGAUGCCGGUCGAUACUGCCGGACUAGAGUUCGGAAGAGGCGAGUGGAAUUCCCGGUGUAGCGGUGAAAUGCGCAGAUAUCAGGAGGAACACCUAUGGCGAAGGCAGCUCGCUGGGACGUUACUGACGCUGAGACGCGAAAGCGUGGGGAGCAAACAGG
rnacentral:rRNA from 1 species